AGAGUUUGAUCCUGGCUCAGGACGAACGCUGGCGGCGUGCCUAACACAUGCAAGUCGCACGAACGGAGGAGAGCUUGCUCUCCAAUGUUAGUGGCGAACGGGUGCGGAACACGUGAGCAACCUACCCUAUGGCGGGGGAUAGCCGGUCUAACGGCCGGGUAAUACCGCGUAACGCUCCGAGGCUGCAUGGUCUUGGAGUGAAAGCGGCCGCAAGGUCGCACCAGAGGAGGGGCUCGCGUCCUAUCAGCUUGUUGGUGAGGUAACGGCUCACCAAGGCGACGACGGGUAGCUGGUCUGAGAGGAUGACCAGCCACAUUGGGACUGAGAUACGGCCCAGACUCCUACGGGAGGCAGCAGUGGGGAAUAUUGCGCAAUGGCCGAAAGCCUGACGCAGCAACGCCGCGUGGGCGAAGAAGGCCUUCGGGUUGUAAAGCCCUUUUCUGGGGGAUGAGACAAGGACAGUACCCCAGGAAUAAGUGUCGGCUAACUACGUGCCAGCAGCCGCGGUAAU
rnacentral:rRNA from 1 species